rnacentral:rRNA from 1 species
AGUGAACGCUGGCGGUAGGCCUAACACAUGCCAGUCGAACGGCAGCACAGUAAGAGCUUGCUCUUACGGGUGGCGAGUGGCGGACGGGUGAGGAAUACAUCGGAAUCUACUUUUUCGUGGGGGAUAACGUAGGGAAACUUACGCUAAUACCGCAUACGACCUACGGGUGAAAGCAGGGGAUCUUCGGACCUUGCGCGAUUGAAUGAGCCGAUGUCGGAUUAGCUAGUUGGCGGGGUAAAGGCCCACCAAGGCGACGAUCCGUAGCUGGUCUGAGAGGAUGAUCAGCCACACUGGAACUGAGACACGGUCCAGACUCCUACGGGAGGCAGCAGUGGGGAAUAUUGGACAAUGGGCGCAAGCCUGAUCCAGCCAUACCGCGUGGGUGAAGAAGGCCUUCGGGUUGUAAAGCCCUUUUGUUGGGAAAGAAAAGCGGCAGGUUAAUACCCCGCUGUUCCGACGGUACCCAAAGAAUAAGCACCGGCUAACUUCGUG